GUGUGUGAGAGAGAGAGAGUAAGAGUCCUAUCAUGCCUGUGUGCUGAAGGUAAGGGUUAUUCCAGUCAAGCACUGAAGUCACUGAGGGGCUUGUACAUGUCGGUUCUUGUCAGACGCAGCAGCUUUUUCUAUCUCUCUUUCUCCCUUUCUUCCCCUAUUCUUCCUGCCGGCCCGCUUUUCUUUUCUUUCUGUCUUUGUCUCUUUCCAUCUUUCCUCUCCCUUUGAGUCCUGCUCCAGUAGACCUGCAGGUUUUAAUGGCUCUGUGAAACAGUAUAAAAGCAGCGGGUGCAUUGAGUCAUUUUAGCCUGAGGACUCAGACUGACUCUGUUUGUCUUUCUGUUGCAGCUGUCACUCUGCAGCCCUCCACAUUCACAGCUUCACUUAAACGCCAAAAUAGAGAGAUAAAAUGGUCGUGGUCAUUUUAUUGUGCAUGGAAUAGCCCUCGCCUGCAUCCUCGUAUCAAUCAGUUAAAUGAGGUGCUCAGACAGGAGCACAGCAUGGCAGUAAUAAUGGAGUAGAUUCUAGAGUUGAUGGCCAUAAGACAAGCUGAGAGCUCACUGUGCUAUGGUCAGCUACAUCAUUAAACACACGCAUGCACUCAGCUCCGAACGCAUCUAAUUUGACAAAAUUGCUAGAAUAAUAAUGAAUGAUGUUUGCUAGACACGUCUUAUCACAUCAUAUCCUUCCUAGUAUACAAUUUGGUGAGGUCGGUGCAGUCAGUACUGGACUGGUGAACUUUUCCCCUUCAUGAAAGCACACAGAAAGUACUUAAAUUGUGAAACUUGUGAUUCAUUAGCCACUAUAGGCCUUAGUCUGAGAAUGGCCAUAUUUAAUUUUUGACAGCAAUGAACAGGAGGCUGAGGGUUAGUACAUCGUGUUCAGUGGAUUGUACUGUUUAACAAUAUACCAACUGUUCGGCUGACAAAACAACUUUCCAAAAGACAGAGACUCCAGUUUUAGUUUUAGUUGUGAACGUAAUCUAGGAGCUUUGAACAGAUUGUAAUCUCCCACAUUUCAUCCUGGGAAAAUUCAAUAUGGCAUCUGCCCUGAUUAAAGUGUACAUGUAAAUAACUAGAAAUGCAGUAAAUUUGGUAAGCUGGUUAGCUGUUUUGAGCUGGUCAGCAGGCUGGUUUUAGUCGGGUUUUGCCACAUUUCCCAAAUCAUGCCAGGCUGGUCUUAGCUGGGAGACCAGCUUGAACGACCAGCUAAAACCAGCCUAGCCUGCUGGGAGACUAGCUCAAACCAGCCACUUCUAGCUUAAACCAGCUAAGACCGGCCAACCAGCCUUUCUUUUCUUCUUCAGCAGGGCUACCACUUCACAAUAACAAGCUGCAUAACUGACUGUUUCUUAAACGUUGGCUGUGACCGCCUUGCACAAUCAAAAUAAAAAUGGAAGUGCCCAUUCUUACUUUAAAAAUAAGGACACACUCAGACAUGUUUGGGUCAACUCUGGAAUGUAGUGUCGCCUUAAAUUGAACAUUUAAACAUGUUGUUGUUUUUUCAAACCGUGCAGUAGUAUGUGACAUUUUCUAUUUGAAAGGAAUGACAUUUAAAAGAAAUGUGUUGCCACUGGCUUUAGCAUUUCAAGAAAUAUGUUCAAGAAACAAAAUAAUAUUUUAACCAUUUAUCAGAAUUUAAAAAGGAACAAAAGGCGAUUUUGUUCUUGUUUUCUCAAACUGUCUAAAGUAGAUGUAUUAAUUAAUCGUCAACUCGUGAAAAUAAUCACGAAAACCACCAGUGACCAUUUCGCUAUUAAAAUGAGUAAAGUGAAAUGGCGGCGUCCAUAAUGCUGGAUGGUGUUUUCACGGUUGAUCCCACUUCAGUCGAGUCUAAUAAGGCUUAAACGCAGGAACGCAGAACUUCGGACACCACAUUUUUUUGGAGUAACUCCUCUAGAAGACGGACCGGAUCCAAAACCUCCGAAUAACACACGGUUCCUAUCUCCGUCUAUAUCCAGCACCCCAGACCAGAUGCUUCACAAUUACCCACAAUUCCCCUGGAAUUGUUCCUGCCUCAUUGAGUCUUCAGCCAAAGUCAGGCAACUGCAACUAGUCAAAACACACACAUACACACACACUACAGGGCACAGCCUGAUGUGACCGCCUCUCCCCACCCCAUCUGUCAGGAUGACGUCAACUCUCUUCCGUCAGACAGGUGGUAUCACCUAAGACCCCCCAGCUCUGCCACUCGACACAAAGUCAUCCAUCACCACAGCAACAGCUCCUGUCAUUGCCUGGGAAGCGAGGGACUGCUAGGGCAGAUGGGAAGAGAGGCAGCCCAACUGGUCUUCCAGCAUCAGGUGGUCUGGGAAUGAUAAAGAGAGACUGAAAGAGAAAGAGGGCAUCUUCCUUUGACACCAAGAAGUUUAAAAUGGGGAAAAAAUAACUUUCUUUUUGACACACAGACAGUAAUGACAGGUGUGUCCGUGACUGGAGCUCCCAGCUGGAAACUCCAGAAAGAAAUGUCCAAAGCCUCCUCAAAAAUAGUCCGAGCUGACCCUUUUUGUGCAAAACCUCUGGCCCACAACAUGGACAACCCGGAGAUGAAGGGUAAGAGUUAGAUGUGCUUCCUAGGAAGGUUUUGACUGUGCGUGACUGGUGUUGGCUGUAAAUGCAUGGAAAUGUUUCAUCACAGGUCAGUGGCAUCUUUUCUGCAAGACAGCAGUACCGUAUGAAUGCAAGUGACCUGAAGGAAAAAUUUCAAAUCUUUCAGAGUUUCCGUUGACAUACUGGAGACAUUUAAAGAGAGAACACUUAUCAAGCUGUAUUCAGGCAUAGAGAAUGCGUCCCACAUCUUAACGACACAAUGAUGAAACAAAAGAGCAUAUUCAGUACAUGUCUGAUUGCACUAAAAUGCCAUAAAGAGAGACAAGGCAUCUUUUGUUCAAUUCUGUCAGGCAUCAAAAUGUCUGGUCCAUUGCUUAGCUAAAUAUAGAAUAAAGGAGGGCAGUUAUAACACUUCUUACUGCAGUGGAUAUUUCUAAAGGAAGGUUUAUUUUAUUGAGUCUUUGUGUUGAAUUAUGUUGCAUUGACACACACAGUCUUUUGAACAUUUCCACAAUUAUCACCCAAAUGACAAAAGUUUGUGAAUAUGUGUAGAGCGAAUGAGAGAGAGAGAAAACUAUACUAUAAUUGCAGAACUUUUGUAUAAUUGCGUACCUUAGUAGUAUAAACAUAUAUGGCUAGGUUCGUAUAUAUUUGGACACUAUACAAUUUUAAACAUUUCAGUUCUGUAUGCCACCAGAAUAUAAUUAUAAAAUAAAUUAAUAAUAAAAUAUUAAUAAUAAGGAAAACAUCAAUAUGAAACUGAAGUGCAGACAUCAAGCUGUGAUUGGAGGGGUUAAACAGAAAUAUAAGAUGUUUGGGAAUUACAACCAUUUUUAUACACAGCCCCCCCAUUUUCUGGGGCUUAAAUGGAAUUGGACAAGUAAAUAAAUAAAAUAUAUAAAAUGUUAAUUUUUAAUAUUUUGUUGAGAAUCCUUUUCAGGCAAUGACUUCCUUAAGCCUUGUUUGUUUGUGGGUCUUUUCUGCCUUUAGUUUUAACUUCAUGGAAAUGGAUGGAAAUCAGGAGAUUGACUUGACAAUUACAGAAUACUCCACUUUUUUUUUUUUUUACCUUUAAAAGCUCCUGGGUUGCUUUUGCAGUAUGUUUUGGGUCAUCAUCCGUUUGUACUAUGAACUGCUGUCCAAUCAGCUUUGCUCCGUUUGACUGAAUCCGGGCAGAGAGUAUAUUCCAUGCAUGCUCACGCCAUCACACUACUCCACCAUUAACAGAUUAUAUUUUAUGCUUUGAAUUGUGAGCUGUAUCAGAGUGUAUACUACAAUUGCACUCCUGUCGGCAACAAUACAUUUGCAUAUUCGAGUUUUGUACUAUUUAAUCUGCUUCAUGAUUCAGGGUUUGUGUAGCUCAGUUCGUAGUGAGUUGUGCUAUAAGAUGAGAUGCAAUCAUGCGAACAUGGGUUUGAACCAAGAGAAUGUGUGGCCUCAUAAAAGGUAUAUGUCCUUAAUUUAUGGUUUUACACAAUUUUUUGUAACUGGUAGGUUUGGGGGUGGGGCCAGGUGUGGUCAUUGGAAUGAAUUACACCUAGUAAAAUCUGUUUUAAUCACUGUGACUUUGGUGUAAAAAGUUCACACACUGCAUUUAAACAAAACAGGCAUUUUGACUAGUAAGGACAGUCAUAUAAGUCAUUUCAUGAUGACAGAUACAACACAACACUUUUACUUUUUACGCCUGCUACAAGGACGCUUAACUUUUAAACAUUAAAAAAAGGUCUUAAUAAGGUACUUCCACAAACAGGCUCGUAAUUGAAAUAUAUUUUGGUCAACAGAUAAAAUAAUAAAAACUGUACCUGUGUACAAAUAUGCAUUGACCUAAAUGUAUAAUUAAGAGUGCAGCUUGUUAUGAAUUUCUAUCAAACUUAUUACCGUUGUUAAUUGAAUUUUCUUUCAAAUUUGGGAUUAAAAAUCACUAAGUACACUCCUCAGAAAAUAGUCGUCUUUUAAUAGGCACAAGAAGUGAUAAUUACAAAUUCUAAAACUUUUUUUUUUUCAGUGUUUGUUUGUUUGUUUUAAGAACUUGAAACCUGCAGCACCAACAUGCUUCCCAUGAGGUAAUAAAAGAAUGUUUUAUUUGAAGCCUUUUUAUGUGUAGAUCAAACCACACCAUUAAAGCACGGCUUUUUUGCCUGUAUGUUUCAUCUCGGGUUUACACAUCAACAAAGCACUAAUUAGCAGAUGACAAUCACAUCAGUCCUGUUGUCACCAGUUUAAAUGACACUGACAAACAUUAGGGACCAGAUUAUAUGCUUUAAACAAACACCACUUCUGUUAUUGUAAUGACUUCAGAAUAUAAUAAUUGCAUGCUCCCAAAAGCUACACCAAAUGGCACUUUGCAAAUCUGCUGGGACAUUUCUAUGGGUAAAUUCCAGGCUCUCUGAUAACCAUGUAAUGAAAUGUCUAAUGUAAGAUUUACUGUAAGUUCUUAUUUCUAACAACAAAAAUAAUAUAAAAAUAGCUAUAUUGUGAUUAUCAAUCUAGUAAUUAUUCUUAAGAAAUGGUGGGGGAAGAUGUAA